CCGCGGUGGCGCGCGCGCGGCUCGCGCCACUUUUGUCCCCCGACACGUGAACGCAACCACGUGGUCCAGUGCGUGACACACGAGAGCCGGAUAGAGGGUGUUUGCUAGACAGUGACAAGUUUCUCGCGACCGGGAUUCCGACGACGGGACUCCAGGCUUCCCCAAUCCGCAGCCGUGGACGCGAGAGCAGCCGUCAACCUGGAGCCCACGUGCCAAAAACGACGGAAAUGUGAGGCCGAUGGGAAGGAGGCGAAGGCAGAGUUGACGGCGCAACGCAAUAUGUUCCCUAGCGCUCAAAUUAAAAUGAGAUUGCUGUCGCCAAGCAGUUCGCCGGCCACCUCGCCCACAAUGUCGAAUUCCUCGUCGCCAACACCACCGACACCGGCGGCCCCGACUUACAACCAGAAGAUGGCCGGUAUUCCUUGUGUGGCGGCCGCUUCGAGGUACACCGCACCGGUUCACAUCGACGUCGGUGGCACGAUAUACACAUCCUCCCUCGAGACUUUAACAAAGUAUCCGGAAUCUAGACUUGCGAAAUUAUUUAAUGGCAGCAUCCCCAUCGUUCUGGAUUCGCUAAAACAACAUUACUUUAUCGAUAGAGACGGCGGCAUGUUCCGACACAUACUCAAUUUUAUGCGAAAUUCCCGGUUACUGAUACCCGACAACUUUGCCGAUCUCGAUUUAUUGCUAGAAGAAGCGCGAUACUUCGAUAUUGCUCCGAUGUGCAGGCAACUGGAACAGAUGAAGAAAGAACGCAUAAAAAACGGCUCGACGAUGAUGACGACGUCGUCGCCGAGUCCGCCGCCUUCCGGUCAGCUCGGUUCCGGUCGCGGCACCACCGCUUGCACCACCGGGCCUUGCAAUCGCGAUCCCGAGAAGAUGCGCGGUAACGACGGCAAUUGCAGCUACGAGUGCGUGGCGUUACACGUGAGUCCGGAUCUGGGCGAGCGGGUGAUGCUGUCGGGUGGACGAGCCCUCCUGGACGAGGUGUUCCCGGAGACGACGCAGGCGGUGAUCGACGCGCGAUCCGGCGUCGCCUGGCAUCAGCAGGACGCCCGUCACGUAAUCAGGUUUCCGCUCAACGGUUAUUGCAAGCUUAACUCGGUCCAGGCGAUCACCAGACUGCUGAACGCCGGCUUCCGGGUGAUCGCGAGCAACGGCGGCGGCGUCGAGGGCCAGCAGUUCUCCGAGUACCUGUUCGUCAGGCAAUCCGUCAACACCUGACGGAGCACGGCGCAUCAGCGCAAAACGAUCUCCAGAUCGAUCCGUUGCCUGCAGCGCGACUAUGAUCCAGAGUGAGUGCAACUGUCCAGGAGGAUCUCUCAAGACUGCAUCGCGGAUAAUAUGGUGUUAUUCUGAACAAAAUACACACGGAGCAUCUUCGAAGGCUGACAGUCGCAACCGCAGUUUGAUGCCAAAAAAUACGGAAAGUGCAGCGAUCUUAUUAUUUCAUACGCAUCGAUCUCCUCCAACAUUUAAGAGAGAUUAGUGAAAUGUAUGUUAUUUUUAUUUUUUGCAACACAUAACGACGUGCGAGUCGUAGUUUGAUUGCCACUAUCUCUGUAGAAAAAAUAGCAGUAUCGUUAACGGCGAGUAAUCUAGAUUUUUCUCUAGAAAAUAAAGAGACAAUAAUUUUGCUAUUCGAGAAGCGAGUAAAAGUAUAGACCGCGAAAUUAUUGUCACUCGCAAUCAAUUCUCGAUUGCUAUGGACGUUGCGUCGCGCCCGAAGCGAAAGAAUUUUGCUCCGUACAAUAAAAUUAUUAGUCAAACAAAAUCGCUGGACGUAACAUGGAAAUCAGACAAAUUUAUUACAAGACAGUGAGUAAGAUUCCUUCAAUUCUUUACUUUUUUAUCUUUUUCUUUAGUUCAAUUAUUCUUUGCACAAUCCCGUGUAACAAAUUUUUUUAUUGUCCAACAAAUGAAAUCUCUUGAAAUAUGUCGAUGCAUAAAUGUGAAUUAUUUAACACAUCAAUAACCGCGAUCAGACUGCAAAAAGAGAAAAAGCGGAAAAGCUUCGCAAUAAAAAUAAAUACUGAAAAAAUACUUAUUUAAAAAAAUCACUCGUAAAGAGAGAGAGAAUUGCAAAUCUCUUUAAAAUUAAAAAUUAAUUUUAUAUUAGCAAAAUCACAGUCGACACAUGAGAAUA
rnacentral:misc_RNA from 1 species